rnacentral:rRNA from 1 species
GACGAACGCUGGCGGCGUGCUUAACACAUGCAAGUCGAACGGAAAGGCCUGCUUUCCCUUGUGGAUUGCGGGUACUCGAGUGGCGAACGGGUGAGUAACACGUGAGUGAUCUGCCCCCAACUUGGGUAUAAGCCUGGGAAACUGGGUCUAAUUCCCGAUAGGACUGCAGGGUGGUUCCUGUGGUGGAAAACGAUUUUCUAGUGGUUGGGGAUGAGCUCGCGGCCUAUCAGCUUGUUGGUGGGGUAAUGGCCUACCAAGGCGGCGACGGGUAGCCGGCCUGGGGGGGUGGACGGCCACGUUGGGACUGAGACACGGCCCAGACUCCUACGGGAGGCAGCAGUGGGGAAUAAUGCACAAUGGGCGGAAGCCUGAUGCAGCGACGCCGCGUGGGGGAUGACGGCCUUCGGGUGGUAAACUCCUUUCGACCGCGAGGAAGCCACCUGGUUGGAAGGGUGGUGACGGUAGUGGUAGAAGAAGCACCGGCUAACUACGUG